GUUACUUUCAGGCCUUUUGGCUAAAAUCUGUUCUCAUCAGUUUAAUAUUUGAUACUCCCUCAACAAAAGGACUUUAUAUCAAACAGUUUUUUGGGCUCAAUUCUAU
rnacentral:snRNA from 1 species